CAUCACAGCUUCCCGUACGAUCACUGAAGUUAAGCAACGUCGAGCCUGGUCAUUACCUCGUUGGGUGGCCGUUUGGGAAAAUCAUGUGCUGUAAG